GGCGUUGUGGUCUAGUGGUAUGAUUCCUGCUUUGGGGAGCUUCUCAAGCAUGCAGGAGGUCGUGAGUUCAUCCUAAUCAUCGUCG